rnacentral:rRNA from 1 species
UUUAUUGGGCGUAAAGAGCUCGUAGGCGGUUCAACAAGUCGGUCGUGAAAGUUCAGGGCUCAACCCUGAAAUGUCGAUCGAUACUGUUGUGACUAGGAUACGGUAGAGGUGAGUGGAAUUCCGAGUGUAGCGGUGAAAUGCGUAGAUAUUCGGAGGAACACCAAUUGCGAAGGCAGCUCACUGGGCCGCUAUCGACGCUGAGGAGCGAAAGCUAGGGGAGCAAACAGGAUUAGAUACCCUGGUAGUCCUAGCUGUAAACGAUGGAUACUAGAUGUAGGAACUGGAUUGACGGUUUCUGUAUCGCAGCUAACGCGUUAAGUAUCCCGCCUGGGGAGUACGGUCGCAAGACUAAAACUCAAAGGAAUUGACGGGACCCCGCACAAGCGGCGGAGCAUGCGGCUUAAUUCGAAGAUACGCGCAGAACCUUACCAACACUUGACAUGUUCGUCGCAACUUUAAGAGAUUAAAGUUUUCGGUUCGGCCGGACGAAACACAGGUGCUGCAUGGCU